GGCUGCUCUGGAACUUCCUCUAUGAACCUGACUGCGGUCGCAGGUGGCCCCAGAAUGGACAGAGAAGCUUGAGCUCCAGGCCACCACGGUGGGCCCCUUCCAAUAACCACCGGGCCCACCUGGAACUGCAACUCCAGAAAUUGGCAAAGGUUUCUUCACGCUCUUACCAUUUGGCCCCAGAAGCUCUGUGGACACUGGGAACCUUCAGCAUCGCUAGCCUGAACUGGGUCUUGAGCAUUGUAAGUUAGGCAGGUCCCUGGAGAUGACUUGCCUACACCAUCCACUUGGCUUGACUUUGAGCUUCUGUGCAAUGAACAGCAUCAAAACUAAGCUAGCAGGAAGCAUGCCCCCAGUGCACUUUUGAAGAAUGUAGCCAGAUCUCAUCCAGUCACAACAGCUGGGCU